rnacentral:lncRNA from 1 species
UGUUAUGGUAAGAAGGAAGAAGGAAGGAAGGAAAGAGCAAAAGGAAGGAAAGAAGGAAAGAGUGAAAGGGAAGGGAGGAAAGAAACAAAAAAAAUUAUCAAUGCAAGUGAAUAUGUCUGUGUACAUAUCCAUGAAUACAUACAUAUAUUUCAAAAUUCUGACCAUGGAGAGGACCUAGGUGCAAUGACACCCCAGUAGCAAUUAAUAACAAGUAUGUAGGUUCCAAUUUCCAUAACAAACAACAAGGACUCCUUGUAAAAGUGGAUGAUUCAAGGAUGGAGGUAGAGAAAUUUCAAGAUAAGCCUGGAACGUUGGAUAAUAAUGAACUGUGGUUUGAAUGCUGGUAUUUAUCGCUGUGGUUUCAACUUGCUUAACUUGCUCAAUGGAAUGCUAUCUCUAGAGUACUGAAAGAAACUAAAGGCCAACGUGUGAAAAACAAUCUUCAGAAAUGAACGUUAAAUGAUGACAUUUUCAAACAAACAAGCAACAAAAAGAAGCAAAAAGUAAACAAAAAACAAAAAUUCACAUAAUUUAUUGCUAGGAGUUUUACACUGAAAUGCUGAAGGGAUUUCUACUAGCAAAAGUAAAAAUGAUCUCAUUUGAAAAGAUGGAAAUUCAAGGAGGGAAUGAAGAAUACUGGAUGGGUAAAUGUGUUGGUAACUGUAAAUGAAUACUGACUACACAAAAUUAUGUUGAAUAACUGAAAGAUGAAAACACAAUCACUUGAAGGAGAAAUGUAUGGUCAAACUGCAUGCAGGAAAAACUUCUAUAAAAGAGUUACUUCAUGCUCUGGGUUGGCAGAUACAAUGAGCAGGAGUGCAUCAGAAGUAAUCAAGAAGGUGAUUAGUUGGUGUACUUCAGCAGGAGCAACCAGAUGAAUUGGCUUCUCUAUAUCCCCGUAUUAGCCACAAGCUAGGCAGCAGCCUGCAGGUGGGAGCAAUGCCUAUGCAUGUAUGGAUCAGUGUGCUACAUACAGGCAUUUUUGUUAUAGCAGCCUGACUAGACUAAGACAUUGUAGUAUGUAAGCAAAAUGGGCUCAUUUUUAUAUAUGACAGAGACAAAAAAACAUAAAACAUAUUACUGGAAAGAUACUAAAGCACUCAGAUAAAAUGAAAUGGAAAUGCUAUUUUCUCCAUGAGAAAACAAAAAAGAAGAGGAAGAUAAUAAGGUGCCUGAUUUAAAAAAAAAAAAAAAACUUUUACUUUUGAAUAGUUUCAGAUUUACAAAAAAAAGUCGUGAUGAUAGUACAGAAGGUGGCUAUAUAACCUGUACCCAGUUUCUGUUAUUGUUAACAUACCACAUCUCUAUGAUUCAUUUUUAACAACUAGUGAAUGGUUAUUGACAUAUUUUAAUUAACUAAAGACCAAACGUUAUUCAAAUAUUUUUACUUUUUACCUAAUAACCUCUUUCUGCCCCAGGAUCCAAUUCAGGGUGUGUGACAUUACAUUUAGUCAUCAUGUCUUCUGAUUUCAGUCUGUAUAAUUCCCAGUUCCUCACAGCUGGGACUCCUGACAUCCCAUAUACAAGAGCAACUCCACCCCUGUGUCAGGCCAUAUUUAAACUGUGCUAAUCCCCCAGGCAGAAGCCUCAGUAUCAAGUCCCAUUCUUAAUAUCAAGUCCCAUUAGGUUUGACCCCAUACUAAAAGCUACCAAGUUAGCCAGUCAGUCCCAAAUUACAGGCCUUCCAUGUACUCUGUUCCACAGGUCACGUUGACAGCAUGAACCUUCGAUGUGAUGUGAGGAAAAUGGCAUUCUACCUCUGUGUUCUUCCUCCCCAAAAUUUGUAACCACCAUCUAAUCAUGAGGAAAACAUCAUACAAGUCCAAAUUGAGGAAGAUUCUACAAAAUGCCUGAUUAAUAUUCAUCGAAACUGUCAAGGUCAUCAAAAGCAAGGAAAGUCUGAGAAACUGCCACAGCCUAAAGACAAUCCAGGGAAACGUGAUGACUCAGUGGUAUUCGGGGUGGGUUU